rnacentral:rRNA from 1 species
UACAGGGGGUGCAAGCGUUGUUCGGAAUCAUUGGGCGUAAAGCGCACGUAGGCGGUUCGUUAUGUCGGAUGUGAAAGCCCUUGGCUUAACCGAGGAAGUGCAUCCGAAACUGGCGAGCUAGAGUACUAAAGAGGAUCGCGGAAUUCCCGGUGUAGAGGUGAAAUUCGUAGAUAUCGGGAGGAACACCGGUGGCGAAGGCGGGUCUCUGGGCCAAAACUGACGCUGAGGAGCGAAAGCGUGGGGAGCGAACAGG